rnacentral:tRNA from 1 species
GGCAGUGUAGCAUAGCGGGUAAGGAACUGGGCUUGUAACCCGAAAGGUCACAGGUUCGAUUCCUGGGUAGGACGCUGUCG